AUUGAACGCUGGCGGCAUGCUUUACACAUGCAAGUCGAACGGCAGCACGAAAGAGCUUGCUCUUUUGGUGGCGAGUGGCGAACGGGUGAGUAAUGCAUCGGAACGUACCGAGUAAUGGGGGAUAACUGUCCGAAAGGAUAGCUAAUACCGCAUACGCUUUGAGAAGGAAAGUGGGGGCUCUUCGGACCUCACGUUAUUCGAGCGGCCGAUGUCUGAUUAGCUAUUUGGUGGGGUAAAGGCCUACCAAGGCGACGAUCAGUAGCGGGUCUGAGAGGAUGAUCCGCCACACUGGGACUGAGACACGGCCCAGACUCCUACGGGAGGCAGCAGUGGGGAAUUUUGGACAAUGGGCGCAAGCCUGAUCCAGCCAUGCCGCGUGUCUGAAGAAGGCCUUCGGGUUGUAAAGGACUUUUGUUAGGGAAGAAAAGGAUAGUGUUAAUACCAUUAUCUGCUGACGGUACCUAAAGAAUAAGCACCGGCUAACUACGUG
rnacentral:rRNA from 1 species